GAGAACAGAAGGGAGAAAAGUUUCAGCCACACUAAAUUUCCCCUUAAAGUUAAAGACUAGAUCCUGGUAAAGAUAAAAGUUAUUCACAAAGCAUCUUAGCCCUUAAGAGAGCUCCUAAAGUAAAGAUCUAAGGAUGAAGAGUUUCUCACAGAGAAGAAAGAAGGAGAGAAAGGUGAUCAUAACAAUUCCAGCUCUAUCACAGCCUCAUAUUAAUAUCAGUCAGAUUAAGUAGACUCUUACAGUUACCAGCAUGGUGAAUAAACAUGAGCACAUUAAUAUUAGAAAAAUACACAA